GAUGAAGAACGUAGCGAAAUGCGAUAAGUAAUGUGAAUUGCAGAAUUCAGUGAAUCAUCGAAUCUUUGAACGCACAUUGCGCCCGCUGGUAUUCCGGCGGGCAUGCCUGUUCGAGCGUCAUUUCAACCCUCAAGCCCCCGGGUUUGGUGUUGGGGAUCGGCUCUGCCCUUCUGGGCGGUGCCGCCCCCGAAAUACAUUGGCGGUCUCGCUGCAGCCUCCAUUGCGUAGUAGCUAACACCUCGCAACUGGAACGCGGCGCGGCCAUGCCGUAAAACCCCAACUUCUGAAUGUUGACCUCGGAUCAGGUAGGAAUACCCGCUGAAAUUAAGCAUAUCAAUAAGCGGAGGA
rnacentral:misc_RNA from 1 species